UUCCUUCGUGGAAUUUGCACUCCAACAAGAGAAACAGAUAAGGAGCAGGAAAUAGGAACACAGCGUAGGGUGUGAACAGUGACAGUAAAGCUGGCGGAGGUGCCAGGGAGAGCUGCAAUUUGAAAUGAAGUGGCCAGGGUAGGCCUCACCAGAAGCCGCAGCUGAGCAGGGGCGCUGAGCAGAGAUGUGCUUCCAGGAGGACCCUUCUAGGCAGAGGGAGUCUGGCCAUCUUAACCUGGAUUCAUCCGCGCCUGAAGCCAAACACACCCUGGGCGUCCCAGGAAGGAGCAGGGUUUCCUGCACUCCCAGCUGAAGGACCGUCGCUCCUGGGUCUUCUCUCCACAAGCAAGCAAGGGAAGAGAAAAUGGCCCCAGGGCUCCAUGAGCGCCAGCCCGAAACAGCAGCGAUGGCAGGGCAUUGCUGCGUUGGUUUUCUCAUACCUGAAGAAGCAUUAACUCCUCCAGAAGCCUUUUGCAGAGAAGUCAAAGUACUUUUUUAAAAAGAAGAGGAGACAGGAAGACGGUCUUUAAAGUGAAACUCCUAAUCUAACCCUAUGAUAAGAAUGAAACCUAAUUUUCCUGUCCGCUGCUACCUGCUAGGUUACGUGCUGCAUUUUAACUCCUUGUAAUCCCCAGAAGGCAAAGGAUAUUAAAAUCAAUUUUUAAAAAUUGUAUUUGCAAAUCACUUCCUUCUCUCAAGUGUUUCGUCACCUCUGUGGUCCCUGAGCAAACACACAGACAGCCCCCAUGGUGAUGGCAAGUGCGCACUCUGAGCGCCGGGUGUUUAAGUCAAAUAUUGAUUCCGCCGCGUAUUAACAUGAAUGCCGCUUUGAG
rnacentral:lncRNA from 10 species